GCUCAGCUCAGUUCCUUUGAGCAUGGUGCUGAUAAUGCCAAGGUCAUGGGUUCGAUCCCCAUAUGGGCCA